UUAUGGCCAUAUCACGUUGAAACACCGGUUCUCGUAUGAUCAUCGAAGCUAAGCAACGUCGAGACUGAUUAGUACUUAGAUCGGUGACAGCUUGGGAAUACCAAGUGUUGUAA